rnacentral:rRNA from 1 species
GAGGCCCUCUUCCUUCGGGAGGAGGUGUCCUAGUGGCGAACGGGUGAGUAACACGUUGGUGACCUACCCCGAAGAGGGGGACAACCCCGGGAAACUGGGGCUAAUACCCCAUGUGAUCCUAAGGACUAGAUGCCUAAGGAUGAAAUGGAGCAAUUCGCUUCGGGAGGGGCCUGCGGCCUAUCAGCUAGUUGGUGAGGUAAUGGCUCACCAAGGCGACGACGGGUAGGGGACCUGAGAGGGUGACCCCCCACACUGGAACUGAAACACGGACCAGACACCUACGGGUGGCAGCAGUAGGGAAUAUUGCACAAUAGGCGAAAGCCUGAUGCAGCAACGCCGCGUGCGCGAUGAAGGCCUUAGGGUUGUAAAGCGCUUUUCUGGGGGAAGAGAAAGGACGGUACCCCAGGAAUAAGUCUCGGCUAACUACGUGCCAGCAGCCGCGGUAAAACGUAGGAGGCGAGCGUUAUCCGGAUUUACUGGGCGUAAAGCGCGUGCAGGCGGUUUGCUAAGUCGGACGUGAAAGCUCCCGGCUCAACUGGGAGAGGCCGUUCGAAACUAGCAGGACUAGAGGGCAGCAGAGGGAAGUGGAAUUCCAGGUGUAGCGGUGAAGUGCGUAGAUAUCUGGAGGAACACCAGUGGCGAAGGCGGCUUCCUGGACUGUCCCUGACGCUAAGACGCGAAAGCUAGGGGAGCGAACGGGAUUAGAAACCCCGGUAGUCCUAGCUGUAAACGAUGCACACUUGGUGUUGGUGGCGUAAAACCCAUCAGUGCCGCAGCUAACGCGAUAAGUGUGCCGCCUGGGGACUACGGUCGCAAGGCUAAAACUCAAAGGAAUUGACGGGGGCCCGCACAAGCAGCGG